UACGUAGGGUGCGAGCGUUAAUCGGAAUUACUGGGCGUAAAGCGUGCGCAGGCGGUUCGUUGUGUCGGCGGUGAAAGCCCCGGGCUUAACCUGGGAAUGGCCGUUGAAACUGGCGGACUGGAGUGUGGCAGAGGGGGGUGGAAUUCCGCGUGUAGCAGUGAAAUGCGUAGAGAUGCGGAGGAACACCGAUGGCGAAGGCAGCCCCCUGGGCUGACACUGACGCUCAGGCACGAAAGCGUGGGGAGCAAACAGG
rnacentral:rRNA from 1 species